rnacentral:lncRNA from 1 species
GUCUCUGCCUGGGCUACUCUCUCAGUCUAGAUACAUGGGGCCUAGGCCCUCCCCAAAAUGACUUGACAGAUUUUUAUGAUCCCUCAUGGAAGGCCUCUCCCUCCCUGGGGAGUGGAUGGGGGGUGGUGGGAUAGGGGUUGGAGAGGGGAUGGGAGGAUGGGAGGGAGCCGGAAUUGGGAUUGAUAUAUAAGAUUGUUUCAAAAAAAUAAAAAGAACAACAACAAAAAAUAAAACCCAAAACUCUUCACCCUGCUGGUGCCAGGCACAGUGAUACAUACUUCAUCUGCCUUGGUCUUUCCUAACUCUCUUGAGUUAGGUAAACACAACCUAGCAGCAUAGGGGCUGGAGCUCCCAUCAUGGAAAUCCAUAUUUCCUAUACUGCCAGUGUGGCAGAAGUGACCACAGGAUGGGCAGAAGUUGUACUGAUGCAUGUAAUGUGUGACGUCUUGUUCAAGGAAAGGAAACAGUGUUUAGGUGGAUCUCAGAGGUUCUUGUGUAGAAGUUCUCAGUGCCUUGUGGAAAGCCAUUUCAACCACAAACUUACCAGGGAGCAGAAAUCCCUACGGGUUAAGAAGCAGAAGCAUUUGUAGGAAAUAGGCCCAAGCAGUGCCCAAGUGGUUCAGCUUAAUUUAGGUACAAAUUGCUCACACUCAUAAGAACUCAGGCUCCAGGGCAUGCAAAGCCCUUUGAGAAAAUAGUGGGGUGUCUUUGUUUUCUUUCCUCCUGUGUGAAUUUUACUCUUGAUCAAACCCAGAACUUCACCCAUGCUAGGCAAGAACACUGCCACUAUGCUACACACACUUCAAGCCCCCUUUCCUGCUUUUUACUUUGAUAUGAAGACCUUCCUAAGUUGCUCAGGAUGGCCUUAAACUUGUGAUCUGUCUGUCUCAUCCUUUAUUUCAGUAGCUGGGAUGACAAGUCAAAACCACUAGGCUCUGCUUUUAUUUUUAUUUAAAGGAAGUUAUCACCAGUAAAUGUAUUUAGUGACUCUCAAACCCCAGUGAGCACUGGAAUCAUGCCUGUUACACACACACCCAUAGCCCAUGCCCAGAAUUUCUUUCCAGAGGUCAGAGUGACCUGGACUUUACGUCUCAGACAAGUGCUCAGAUGGUGCUGCUAGUCUUGGAACCAGCCUCUUGAGAAGCCCUAGCCUAAACAGAGGCCUGUCUCAAUUACAAAUAAACAUUCCUAAUGGGGACAAUUAGCAGUAUUUGUUGGUCAAACAAUUGGGGGAAGAAAGCCCUUUUGAGCAGAUUGGAUUCUCCCCAGAUGUGUAGGGUGAUGCCAGAACCAGGCAACAUUAUUCACAUCAAGCCAAACUGUAGCUGAUUCAAUACGCUCCUUCUUUGCUGAGACAACGUGACCCCAUACAAGAACCAGUGCUGCAAGAGACAGGCUCAGAUUUUUGUUUACCAGAUCUAAACACAGCGCCGGAGAAAACAGUCAGGAAUACAAGCACACUGUCCUCCCGCCCACCCUUCCUUCCUUCCUGUUCAACCAUGCAUUCAAAUGUUCCUCAAGAAUCCUUAGACACUGGAAACUGCACAGCCCCACGCAGGGACUUUCAUUAUCAGUGGUGUAUACCCACCCACCUCUUAACCUGCUUCUGCCUUGCUGCAGUUUGGUCAUGAGACAAGGACAAAAAAAUACAAACCUACAAGCAGAGAUGACUAUGGCACAUGAAUAAGCACCUGUAAAUAAAUAUUGUACACUGUUAGGGCUUAUUGCAUCACUGACAGUUUCUGUGUUAGAACUUCAUCUCCUCAGCAACUGUGUUGAGAGGAGGGGUCUUUAAGAGAAUCUGAAAUCAUUGAUGGAUCAAGGUCUUAUAAAGAAAUAUGGCUGCUGUUUCAAGAUUUGUCAGACAAGGGACCUGGACACCCUCUUGUUUCCUCACAGUUUCUCAUCUACCCUCUGCUAAGACAGUGUAGUGAGAAGGCCCUUCCCAGCUGAAGCUUUGGACUUCCCAGCCUCCAGAACUAUCAGAAACAAAUCUCUAUGAAUAAAAAUAGAUCUCUGUAAAUUUUCCCCAUCUCAAUCCCUCUGUUACAGCUGCACAAAAUAAACCAAAACUCUAUGUAAACAUAUGGGUAAAAUAAUUACCUAUGUGGGUGUUUAUGUGUGUAGCUUAAGUUUCACAAGUGAGCAUCCUCCAUGGUGCAUAAACACAUCUCUUUGCAACCCUCCGAAGAUAGGUCUGUAUUGAUCUCAUGGAUCAUAUUUUCACCAGACCAGGGAGCAAUGGGCAUCCUGAAGAUCUUGAUCUUGGGAUUGGGUUCUGCAUGAAGACCAAGGUCUUGCUAAGUCUUUGUAAUAAGCACACCUCAGGAUUUUUUUUUCUUUUAUAUGACAGAACAGUUUGGCUCCUUGAUUAGCAGCUGUCAAACUCCCUGUGUACCUGUUUUUCCAUAGCAGCUCCCAUGGAAGAAACUCAAAAGUUUCCUGUGAUAUAAAGUCUUGUCAGGAGCUGUAGUUGUCCUUCCAAAGUUCCCAAGUGUGGGGCUGUGAAGGAAAUUGCAGGGUUGGAGGGUAGCAAAAGCAGCUUCAGCCCUACCAUUUUCAGAGACCUGGGGAGGUGUUAAUUACAUGGCCACUUCUUUAGAACUUGAGGUAGAUGAUGAGGUGGAGAUGUACCAGGUAGAGAUGGACAAGUGAGUCAGGGGACUGAGUGUGGCACCCUCAGAAGCUUCCUGCUCCUACUACCAUCACAGCCCAGUCUCAUUAUAAUGAAAGACCACAGGCAGGUAAUAUAAGUACUCAUUAGAACUAGGCCUGAGCAUAAGAGUAGUGUGAGGGAGAGAGGUCUCAGACUCCUGCCCAGAGAGUAAGUGGAGCAAUUUAUACAGCUUAUAGUGUGUAUGCCCUGUCAUGACGGGGGUGGGAAGGACUUCUCCCAAAGCAUACUGAAGAAUGCUAUGAUGAAGUCCAGAGCAGCUGUGCAUGGAGUUUUGUGAAGUGGUUGCAAGUGGGGUCAUCUAAGGAUCUUUUGGUCUGUGACAGCAAGACUGAAGCUUCUCAACACAACGCCAUGCAGGGACAGUGGCCAUGAUAGCUGCAUUCCUUCCCCUAAUUUCAAUCAACUUUCUUGGAGGUGUCUGUGGCUGGCCUGAAGUCUCCUCCAGGUAUAGGUAGCUGGAUCAGAUUCUCCCCUGGAAGCUAGGAAUGUUGAAAGCCACCAACUGACAGUUUGAAGAAUUACUAAGGAGUGGCCAUAUGGUUGACAGCUGCCCAGGGAUCUGGAAAUAGUGGGGCUGAAGCUACCUUUGCUACUGAGUGGUCCUGCAACUCCAUUCACAGCCUCCCUGACUUGGGAACUUUGGAAGGACAGCAAUGGCUCCUGACCAGUGUCCACAUCUGAGAGUUGACUUUCACCCCCUGGAAGCCACCCUGGGGGAAGGGGAUACAGGGAGUCUGACAGCUCUUAAUCAAGGAGCCAAACCACUCUGUCAUAUAAGAGGAAAAAUAUCGAGGUGUGUUUAUUAGGACUUCUUACUGUUUUCAGUGAUUCCUAAUAAUGCCCACCUCUAGCCAGGAGCAUGGGGAGGGCUGGGUCCCCCUGACCUGCCUGAGGGUCUUGAGGUCUUGCUCUGUCACAUGCUCCUGGGCCCAAAGCUACAGAGCAGCCAAACAAACCAGACCCUCAAACUCUGUGAGCCAAAAUAAACCUUGUGUCUCUGUAAGCUGAGUAUCUUAGGGAUUUGCCAUAGUGACAGAAAGCUGGCUGACACACUCCAGUUUCCUUGUGCUUGUCACUUGGCUUCCAUCUUCUGCUGACAUUGUCUCCUCCUAAAUUUCUCUCAUACAGUUCUUGGGAGAAUUCUUAUGAAAUCAAAAAGCAAACCAACUACCACCACCAUAAAAACCACAACUCAUGGCUUAUUUGGUAAAGUAUUUGUUAUGCAAGCAUGAGCACCUGAGGUAGACCCCAGAUUCCACACACAAAAAAGCUGAGCAUGGUGACACAAAUUUGUAAUUCAAGCACUGAAGGGUGGACAGAGAGGCAGGAGAAUUCCUGGGACUUACUGGAUUACCAGCCUAUCCAAUUUGGCAAGUUUCAGGUAAAAAGUGAGAGACCCUGUCUCAAAAGCCAAGGUGGUGGGAUGCCUAAGGGAAUGAGAGCCAAUAUGCCAACAUACACACAGAGGCCUCACACAUCUCUUACAUACACAUACACACACAUGCACAAAAUAUGAAGUUAGUAGGUAGAGUCGGUCACCAGCUACUCUGAUGACAGAAAAAUGGAAAAGUAUGUACAGGACAAAAUGAUAGUGAUGAUGCAAUGAUUUACAGGCACCGUGAUAAAUGUCUUUUCAUUGUGUCCUGAAAAUGAUCCUCAGCCUAGGGCCUGAUUUUACAGAUACACCAAGGCUGAAAGAUGCUGAGCAUCACACGACAGCUAAGAGGCAAGUGUGGCAUCCACAACAUGGCUUUCCUGCCAUUGGAACCACGUGGCUGUGCAGCCUCAAGUGCCCUCCUCUUCUUGCCAGCCCUAGAGUCUCUGGCGGGUUUGUCUUUCCAAGAUUCCUCACAAUGAGCUCACUUCCAUCUCGAGGUUCUUCCUGAGGGUAAUACUGUUGUUGAUACAAAAAAAUGUAAACAAAAGACUGUUUUCAAAAUUAGAACCAGAUCUUAAGGAAGAGAGUGAACCUCUCACGCCAAAGUCUGGUAGGAUCUAACUACAUUAGUGCAGCUGUUCUCUCUAGAUGCUGUGCUGGGGGAACCAGGGUGCUCUGCAGAGGUCAUGACCUGGGCUAUUGUCCAGGCUGCAGAGAAUCCAGGUGCCCUAGAUUUGGCUUGAAGACUUCUUAUACCUGGUACACAUUGGGAAACUUUCACCUGCCUGGCUACAUGUGCCUGGGGCCUACUAAAUCCAAAAUGUGGAACUUGGCCAAAGAAACACUGUGGUAGCCUCCAUAGCUCCUGUACCUGCUGGCACUGCACUGAAUAUGCUCUCAUUUUUUCAUUCAUCCAUCCAUUUAUUUAUCAGAGAGAAGCUAAAGUCAAGUGAGCACUCAAGAUCAAGGCCAGCCUGGGCUACAUAAUAGUUCCAAGCCACUCUAGAUUUCAAGCAUGAAAGACUAUCUCACAAAACAAACCAUGAAAAAUAGGAUUCCAUUAAUGAAGAUUCUGGCCCAUUCUCUUUUCACCUUCCACAUGGAUCCACCUCUCAAAAGUCCUACCAACUCUCAAUAUACACCAGUCACUGAGUUACCAGAACAUGAAAGUUCAAGGGAAAAAAAUAUGUAUCAUUUACCUGCCAUAGGUUUUGAAUAAACGUGGAAAAGGAAACCAACUGGACAACCCAAAGUCCCCAUAGGACUGCACAUAGUGAAGCAGUGUUCAUAACUGUUCAACAACCAGCUCUCUGGGAAAAGCUCUGAGUUUACCACGGUACCAGUGUGUCAAGUUCAAUUAUUUCCACCACAAGAAAUCCAUGCUACCAUGAUGUCACUAGUCAGAGCCCUGGAAAUGUACAGGGGAUCCUCUGGAGCAGAAGCCCAGCUCAGCACCAAAGCCCCUAGCAGUAAAUUGUGGCUAGAAUCCAGCUGGCUUGGUAGAAAAGGAAUGAAGGGUCCCAGGGAAGUUUUGUUGAGAUUGUAGCCCACAAGGCUCCUCCAUACUCAACAUGGAAACAGAGCAGAGGUUUGUGUCCUGACCAAGUCAAAUGGAUCUGGGCAUAGGCUCUAACGUCUCUGUGGGCAGAUACCUUGUUGGGAAGCUGUUCCAAUUGUAGAUAAAUGAUGAGACAAUAGGUAGGAAGCACUCAGCAAGGUUUCUAGCAGGUACUUUGGAGGCCAGUGGAUUUUUAACCACUCACCUAUUUUCUCUCUUCACAGUGUCCAAUCAGAUACCUGAAUCAAGUACCAUUUUAGGAUUCACGGACGAUUUCUAAGCACAAUAAAGCUGAAGAAGCUCUGAUGUCAAAUGCCCACCUGAGUCUGCUAGAAGCACAACAAUCAGGGGCUGAUUUGAAGCCAUCUCCAGGAGGAAUAAGGGAGCUUUCAUCCAGAGGGUACAGAAGCUAUAGAACUGACCACUCCAGAGAUGCAUCUUGUACAGGACCAGAAGUAAAUCUGCAAGUCAAGGACUCCCUGAUGCUCUGUGCUCCAUCUGAACACACAGAUACCUGCCCCUGUCAAGGCACUCUCAGCUCUCCAUGCCAGAGAACAUUGUUAACAGCUCUGUUCCUUGUCUGAAUGGUUUAGAAGUAUAGGUACCACAUGCCUUGUGUAUAUGCACUUUUUGCCACUGUUUCUCUUGCUGCUGAUGUCAGCUUGCCACCAAUGCAGCCAUCAACCCUAAACUGAAGCCUGUACCAAUGAGAAGC